GCGCCCGUAGCUCAACUGGAUAGAGUGCUAGGCUACGAACCUAGAGGGUGGGGGUUCAAGUCCCUCCGGGCGUGCCA
rnacentral:tRNA from 1 species